AACUUGCCUCAGAGAUUGGGACAACAUUGGGAAACCAGUGCUAAUACCAAAUAAUGCAGCGGGCUCUUCGGAGCACAGUUGUUAAAGUAGGCUUCGGCUUACACUUUGAGAUAGGUUUGCGUCCGAUUAGUUAGUUGGUAGGGUAAAAGCCUACCAAGACCAAGAUCGGUAGCUGGUCUGGGAGGAUGAUCAGCCACACUGGAAUUGAGAUACGGUCCAGACUCCUACGGGAGGCAGCAGUAAGGAAUUUUGCACAAUGGGCGAAAGCCUGAUGCAGCAACGCCGCGUGAACGAUGAAGUUUUUAGGAAUGUAAAGUUCUGUCGUAUGGGAAGAGAUCUUUCGAAUGUUAAUACCAUUCGUUAAUGACGGUACCAUACAAGAAAGCACCGGCUAACUUCGUGCCAGCAGCCGCGGUAAUACGAGGGGUGCUAGCGU
rnacentral:rRNA from 1 species